CUGCUGAUCUGGUAUAAA
rnacentral:miRNA from 1 species